rnacentral:rRNA from 1 species
UUCCGGUUGAUCCUGCCGGACCCGACUGCUAUUUGGGUGAGGAUAAGCCAUGCGAGUUGAAUGGGAAACCUAAAGUUCCCAUGGCAAACUGCUCAGUAACACAUGAUCAACUUACCCUAUAGAGAAAAAUAACCUCGGGAAACUGAGGAUAAUGUUUCAUAGCUGAAUUGGCUUGGAAAAGUUUUUCGGCGAAAAGGGUAAAAAAAAUGGUUUUUAUCUGCUAUAGGAUAGGAUCGUGUUCGAUUAUGGUUGUUGGUGAGGUAAUGGCUCACCAAGCCGAUAAUCGAUAGGGGCCGUGAGAGCGGGAGCCCCGAGAUGGGUACUGAGACAACGACCCAGGCCUUACGAGGCGCAGCAGGCGCGAAACCUCCACAAUACACGAAAGUGUGACGGGGUUACCCAAAGUGUUCAAUAGAACUGUGGUAGGUGAGUAAUGUUCCCUACUAGAAAGGAGAGGGCAAGGCUGGUGCCAGCCGCCGCGGUAAAACCAGCUCUUCAAGUGGUCGGGAUAAUUAUUGGGCUUAAAGUGUCCGUAGCCGGUUUAGUAAGUUCCUGGUAAAAUCGGGUAGCUUAACUAUCUAUAUGCUAGGAAUACUACUAUACUAGAGGGCGGGAGAGGUCUGAGGUACUACAGGGGUAGGGGUGAAAUCUUAUAAUCCUUGUUGGACCACCAGUGGCGAAGGCGUCAGACUGGAACGCGCCUGACGGUGAGGGACGAAAGCCAGGGGAGCGAACCGGAUUAGAUACCCGGGUAGUCCUGGCCGUAAACGAUGCAUACUAGGUGAUGGCACGGCCAUGAGCCGUGUCAGUGCCGUAGGGAAACCGUUAAGUGUGCCGCCUGGGAAGUACGGUCGCAAGGCUAAAACUUAAAGGAAUUGGCGGGGGAGCACCACAAGGGGUGAAGCCUGCGGUUCAAUUGGAUUCAACGCCGGG